rnacentral:rRNA from 2 species
AUCCGGGUUGCGGACAGUGUCUGGUGGGUAGUUUGACUGGGGCGGUCUCCUCCUAAAGAGUAACGGAGGAGCACGAAGGUUGGCUAAUCCUGGUCGGACAUCAGGAGGUUAGUGCAAUGGCAUAAGCCAGCUUGACUGCGAGCGUGACGGCGCGAGCAGGUGCGAAAGCAGGUCAUAGUGAUCCGGUGGUUCUGAAUGGAAGGGCCAUCGCUCAACGGAUAAAAGGUACUCCGGGGAUAACAGGCUGAUACCGCCCAAGAGUUCAUAUCGACGGCGGUGUUUGGCACCUCGAUGUCGGCUCAUCACAUCCUGGGGCUGAAGUAGGUCCCAAGGGUAUGGCUGUUCGCCAUUUAAAGUGGUACGCGAGCUGGGUUUAGAACGUCGUGAGACAGUUCGGUCCCUAUCUGCCGUGGGCGCUGGAGAACUGAGGGGGGCUGCUCCUAGUACGAGAGGACCGGAGUGGACGCAUCACUGGUGUUCGGGUUGUCAUGCCAAUGGCACUGCCCGGUAGCUAAAUGCGGAAGAGAUAAGUGCUGAAAGCAUCUAAGCACGAAACUUGCCCCGAGAUGAGUUCUCCCUGACCCUUUAAGGGUCCUGAAGGAACGUUGAAGACGACGACGUUGAUAGGCCGGGUGUGUAAGCGCAGCGAUGCGUUGAGCUAACCGGUACUAAUGAACCGUGAGG